rnacentral:rRNA from 1 species
GACGAACGCUGGCGGCGUGCCUAAUACAUGCAAGUUGAGCGAUGAAGAUUGGUGCUUGCACCAAUUUGAAGAGCAGCGAACGGGUGAGUAACGCGUGGGGAAUCUGCCUUUGAGCGGGGGACAACAUUUGGAAACGAAUGCUAAUACCGCAUAACAACUUUAAACAUAAGUUUUAAGUUUGAAAGAUGCAAUUGCAUCACUCAAAGAUGAUCCCGCGUUGUAUUAGCUAGUUGGUGAGGUAAAGGCUCACCAAGGCGAUGAUACAUAGCCGACCUGAGAGGGUGAUCGGCCACAUUGGGACUGAGACACGGCCCAAACUCCUACGGGAGGCAGCAGUAGGGAAUCGUCGGCAAUGGACGAAAGUCUGACCGAGAAACGCCGCGUGAGGGAAGAAGGUUUUCGGAUCGGAAAACUCUGUUGGUAGAGAAGAACGUUGGUGAGAGUGGAAAGCUCAUCAAGUGACGGUAACUACCCAGAAAGGAACGGCUAACUACGUG